rnacentral:rRNA from 1 species
GAAACUCCUGCUAAUACCGCAUAGCCAUGAGCACCGCAUGGAGCUCAUGCCAAAUAUCCUUUCGGGGAUAGCGCAGGGAUGGACCUAUGGCGCAUUAGCUUGUUGGCGGGACAACGGCCCACCAAGGCAACGAUGCGUAGCCGGCCUGAGAGGGCGGACGGCCACAUUGGGACUGAGACACGGCCCAGACUCCUACGGGAGGCAGCAGUAGGGAAUUUUCGGCAAUGGGGGAAACCCUGACCGAGCGACGCCGCGUGAGCGAAGAAGGCCUUCGGGUCGUAAAGCUCUGUUGUAAAGGAAGAACGGCGCAUACAGGAAAUGGUAUGCGAGUGACGGUACUUUACCAGAAAGCCACGGCUAACUACGUGCCAGCAGCCGCGGUAAUACGUAGGUGGCGAGCGUUAUCCGGAAUCAUUGGGCGUAAAGAGGGAGCAGGCGGCCGCAAGGGUCUGUGGUGAAAGACCGAAGCUAAACUUCGGUAAGCCAUGGAAACCGGGCGGCUAGAGUGCGGAAGAGGAUCGUGGAAUUCCAUGUGUAGCGGUGAAAUGCGUAGAUAUAUGGAGGAACACCAGUGGCGAAGGCGACGGUCUGGGCCGCAACUGACGCUCAUUCCCGAAAGCGUGGGGAGCAAAUAGGAUUAGAUACCCUAGUAGUCCACGCCGUAAACGAUGGUCACUAAGUGUCGGGGGUCAAACCCCGGUGCU